AAUCUUAUAGUCAAAAAUGAUUUUAAAUUGCAAAUUUAAAGGAAAGAGUAUUCUUUAAGGUUU
rnacentral:tRNA from 1 species